rnacentral:rRNA from 1 species
GAACUCGGGUGAAGGAACUAGGCAAAAUGGUGCCGUAACUUCGGGAGAAGGCACGCUGACACGUAGGUGAAGUGAUUUACUCAUGGAGCUGAAGUCAGUCGAAGAUACCAGCUGGCUGCAACUGUUUAUUAAAAACACAGCACUGUGCAAACACGAAAGUGGACGUAUACGGUGUGACGCCUGCCCGGUGCCGGAAGGUUAAUUGAUGGGGUCAGCGCAAGCGAAGCUCCUGAUCGAAGCCCCGGUAAACGGCGGCCGUAACUAUAACGGUCCUAAGGUAGCGAAAUUCCUUGUCGGGUAAGUUCCGACCUGCACGAAUGGCGUAAUGAUGGCCAGGCUGUCUCCACCCGAGACUCAGUGAAAUUGAACUCGCUGUGAAGAUGCAGUGUACCCGCGGCAAGACGGAAAGACCCCGUGAACCUUUACUAUAGCUUGACACUGAACAUUGAGCCUUGAUGUGUAGGAUAGGUGGGAGGCUUUGAAGUGUGGACGCCAGUCUGCAUGGAGCCGACCUUGAAAUACCACCCUUUAAUGUUUGAUGUUCUAACGUGGACCCGUGAUCCGGGUUGCGGACAGUGUCUGGUGGGUAGUUUGACUGGGGCGGUCUCCUCCUAAAGAGUAACGGAGGAGCACGAAGGUUGGCUAAUCCUGGUCGGACAUCAGGAGGUUAGUGCAAUGGCAUAAGCCAGCUUGACUGCGAGCGUGACGGCGCGAGCAGGUGCGAAAGCAGGUCAUAGUGAUCCGGUGGUUCUGAAUGGAAGGGCCAUCGCUCAACGGAUAAAAGGUACUCCGGGGAUAACAGGCUGAUACCGCCCAAGAGUUCAUAUCGACGGCGGUGUUUGGCACCUCGAUGUCGGCUCAUCACAUCCUGGGGCUGAAGUAGGUCCCAAGGGUAUGGCUGUUCGCCAUUUAAAGUGGUACGCGAGCUGGGUUUAGAACGUCGUGAGACAGUUCGGUCCCUAUCUGCCGUGGGCGCUGGAGAACUGAGGGGGGCUGCUCCUAGUACGAGAGGACCGGAGUGGACGCAUCACUGGUGUUCGGGUUGUCAUGCCAAUGGCACUGCCCGGUAGCUAAAUGCGGAAGAGAUAAGUGCUGAAAGCAUCUAAGCACGAAACUUGCCCCGAGAUGAGUUCUCCCUGAGACUUUAGGUCUCCUGAAGGAACGUUGAAGACGACGACGUUGAUAGGCCGGGUGUGUAAGCGCAGCGAUGCGUUGAGCUAACCGGUACUAAUGAACCGUGAGGCUUAACCUUACA